CUCUCCCUCCUACUUACAAAAUCGAACUGAGGGUGAUUUCAUACUUUUGUUUGUUUGUUUUUGACAGGAAGCAAGUCCCUACCCUAAUGGAGAUCUCGGAGAACUCUAUCAAAAGCAAAUUUAUAAGUAUGCUGGCAACACUAAGGUGAUUCAUUUAUG